CUGCCAUUAUGGAUUUAUUUUCAUGAUAUGGACAAUCUAAUCUUUCUGCUAGGUUUUAGUUAUCAAGAGUUAUUUUUAUGCAAUCCUGUAGAUACCGCAUCCAAAGUUCUGACCGCAUAAGUCAUGAAAAUGUGAUCCUUACAUAAUUAUCUGUCAUUAAUCUCUCCUGUGAUGCUUUAAACACCAUAUUAACACCAGUUUGGUACUUCUACGCUAUCAGGCAGUAUCUCACAAUGUCUCCAUGUUUCACCUGCCUUUAUCAACCACCUGUAUGUAUAUGAGGUCUGUUAUCAGUUGAUAGUUGACACAUUUGUUGACUUUAGGUCAACAUUUUCAACUGUGUGGAUCUGUUGGAGCAGCCAGUGAUUGUUAAAUAGUUUAUGGGACUCCAAAGAUCUCAACAUUAUGGAAUCAGUCUGGAAUUGCAUGAGGAGCAAAAAGCAACCGAGAUUGAGCCUACCAACAACUACCAACUGCCCUAAACAUGUGUGGACCUCUGGAAAAACUAAUGUCUUUUUAAAUGCAAAAGGUGAUCACCAAAUAUAGAUUUAGGGUUAUUAAUGUUUGGUUGAAAAAUAAAAAAUACAAAUUGACAA